rnacentral:lncRNA from 1 species
CUGCUAGAAAUUGCAAGCGACAGUAGCCUCAAAAGUGGUUUUCUUCAUUGACAGUAACCAAAUGAGAUUAUAGAGGAGACCAGACAUGUGCAGCACACUCAGAGUUGCUGUCUCUACAGAUGGAACUGUCAAGUUUCAAGAAAACAAGUUAGAGGCUGCCAUUAAUUCUCCAUUAUGUGUCCUUUCAGGAGCAUUUUGAGUGGAAGACUAACAAAAAGUUCAAAAAUCAGUGAAGGAAACAAUGACAAAAGAAGAAUGAGCUGUCCAAGGAAUGGCACACUUGGGUCAAAUUUCUUGCAUUAAGACCGCUCUUGCUCAUCUGGGAAUUCAACGGGAGAUCACAAGAAAAAGGAAUCGGUUUUGUUCAUCAGUCACACUUGUUGCAAAUCAGCAUGAACCUCACCUGACUUAGAGAGGGGAAGGGUCCCAUCCAGUCUACACAACUCUCAAGUGGUCAUUAUGGAUGGAGACACAGAUAAGUUCGCAC